ACCUGGGUGGCUCAGUCAGUUGAGCAUCUGACUUUGGCUCAGGUCGUGAUCCCACAGUUCAUGGGUUCGAGCCCCACAUCAGGCU
rfam:Felis catus isolate Cinnamon breed Abyssinian chromosome D4, whole genome shotgun sequence.